rnacentral:rRNA from 1 species
CCUUCGGGGUGUAAAGCUCUUUCGACGGGGACGAUAAUGACGGUACCCGUAGAAGAAGCUGCGGCUAACUACGUGCCAGCAGCCGCGGUAAUACGUAGGCGGCAAGCGUUGUUCGGAAUUACUGGGCGUAAAGGGUGCGUAGGCGGUUUUUUAAGUCUGGUGUGAAAUCUCCCGGCUCAACUGGGAGGGUGCGCCGAAUACUGGAGGGCUAGAGUGUGGGAGAGGUAAGUGGAAUUCCUGGUGUAGCGGUGAAAUGCGUAGAUAUCAGGAGGAACACCUGUGGUGUAAACGGCUUACUGGACCAUUACUGACGCUGAGGCACGAAAGCGUGGGUAGCAAACAGGAUUAGAUACCCUGGUAGUCCACGCCCUAAACGAUGCAUACUUGGUGUGGGCCAUUCAUUUGGUCCGUGCCGGAGCUAACGCGUUAAAUAUGCCGCC